rnacentral:rRNA from 1 species
CCUACGGGUGGCUGCAGUGAGGAAUAUUGGGCAAUGGGCGCAAGCCUGACCCAGCCAUGCCGCGUGCAGGAUGACGGCGCUAUGCGUUGUAAACUGCUUUUGUUCGGGAAGAAACCCAUCUACGUGUAGGUGGUUGACGGUACCGAAAGAAUAAGCAUCGGCUAACUCCGUGCCAGCAGCCGCGGUAAUACGGAGGAUGCGGGUGUUAUCCGGAUUCAUUGGUGCUAAAGGGGAAGAUGGCGGAAUAUUAGAAAUCCUGCAGCUUAACUGUAGAACUGUCAUUGAUACUGGUAUUCUUGAAUGCAGUUGAGGUAGGCGGAAUGUGUAAUGUAGCGGUGAAAUGCUUAGAUAUUACACAGAACACCGAUUGCGAAGGCAGCUUACUAAACUGUUAUUGACGCUGAGGCACGAAAGCGUGGGGAGCAAACAGGAUUAGAUACCCCAGUAGUC